AUUGAACGCUGGCGGCAGGCUUAACACAUGCAAGUCGAGCGGGGGAAGGUAGCUUGCUACCGGGCCUAGCGGCGGACGGGUGAGCAAUGCUUAGGAAUCUGCCUAUUAGUGGGGGACAACAUCUCGAAAGGGAUGCCAAUACCGCAUACGUCCUACGGGAGAAAGCAGGGGAUCUUCGGACCUUGCGCUAACAGAUGAGCCUAAGUCGGAUUAGCUAGUUGGUGGGGUAAAGGGCUACCAAGGCGACGAUCUGUAGCGGGUCUGAGAGGAUGAUCCGCCACACUGGGACUGAGACACGGCCCAGACUCCUACGGGAGGCAGCAGUGGGGAAUAUUGGACAAUGGGGGGAACCCUGAUCCAGCCAUGCCGCGUGUGUGAAGAAGGCCUUAUGGUUGUAAAGCACUUUAAGCGAGGAGGAGGCUACUUUAGUUAAUACCUAGAGAUAGUGGACGUUACUCGCAGAAUAAGCACCGGCUAACUCUGUGCCAGCAGCCGCGGUAA
rnacentral:rRNA from 1 species